GAAGCCUGCUGAGUUUAUAGAGUAGAUGUCACUAAUGAGGUGAAUAAUGCAUCGUACUGGCUGUUUACCUUAUGUAGUAAAUGUGAACAAUUAGUGAGACAAUGUUUUGAUGCAUGCAUCGAUGAAAAUGUACUUUUGUGCCUUCAACGUAUAUUGUGUUAAUCUCCGAUACAUUUUGCAUGAGAAGGUUUGCAGUUGUUGUUCGUUCCAUUUUGUAUGGCAAUUUCAGGAGUUUGGCCAAUGAGUUGCUAUAUUGCUGUAUGCAUAUAGCAGUCAGUUUGUAACAAACUAGCUUUUAAUGUGGUGUUUCAAAA
rnacentral:lncRNA from 1 species